rnacentral:tRNA from 1 species
GGGGCCGGUGCUGUGGGUUAAAGCCCUGGCCUGAAACGCCGGCAUCCCAUAUGGGCCCCGGGUUCUAGUCCCGGCUGCUCCU